rnacentral:pre_miRNA from 1 species
AACAUAUUUUUGUAUGGAAGACUAGUGAUUUUGUUGUUUUGAAUGGAACCAUUAAUUGAAUAGAGCGAAGCUCCUUAGCUUCCUCUUUCAAUGGCUUUCUUCUUGAAUGGAUAUUAACAAAAAAUCUCUCGUCUUUCUACAAAGUUUGCC